UUGAAUUCAUAUACGCAAAGGAGUUGUGCAUGGUAAUAAAUAUUGCAUGUGCACACUCUGAAGCUAUAUAACAUAUACACCUGUGAACCAACUGUAGUCUGGAGAAAUCCUGACUAUGAUUACUCUAUAUAACUCUUAUUGUAUGUUACAUAGAACGAUCUCAUAUUGAAGCUUUGUUUUUUUUUACAAGUUUCUCUUAAUUGAAAAAUACA
rnacentral:rRNA from 1 species